AGAGUUUGAUCCUGGCUCAGGAUGAACGCUAGCGGCAGGCCUAACACAUGCAAGUCGAACGGUAAGUCGGGAGCUUGCUCCCGACACGAGUGGCGCACGGGUGAGUAACGCGUAUGCAAUCUACCUCCAACAGGGGGAUAGCCCCCCGAAAGGGGGAUUAAUACUCCAUGGUACUGCACUUCCGCAUGGUAGUGCAGUUAAAGCUUUGGCGGUUGGAGAUGAGCAUGCGUCCCAUUAGUUAGUUGGCGAGGUAACGGCUCACCAAGACAUCGAUGGGUAGGGGGCCUGAGAGGGUUAUCCCCCACACUGGUACUGAGACACGGACCAGACUCCUACGGGAGGCAGCAGUGAGGAAUAUUGGUCAAUGGACGGAAGUCUGAACCAGCCAUGCCGCGUGCAGGAUGACGGCCCUACGGGUUGUAAACUGCUUUUAUAUGGGAAGAAACCCCCCGACGUGUUGGGGGCUGACGGUACCAUAAGAAUAAGGACCGGCUAACUCCGUGCCAGCAGCCGCGGUAAUACGGAGGGUCCAAGCGUUAUCCGGAUUUAUUGGGUUUAAAGGGUGCGUAGGCGGAUAAUUAAGUCAGUAGUGAAAGCCUCCCGCUCAACGGGAGAACUGCUAUUGAUACUGAUUUUCUUGAAUAUAGUUGAAGUAGGCGGAAUACGACAUGUAGCGGUGAAAUGCAUAGAUAUGUCGUGGAACACCGAUCGCGAAGGCAGCUUACUAAGCUAUUAUUGACGCUGAUGCACGAAAGCGUGGGGAGCAAACAGGAUUAGAUACCCUGGUAGUCCACGCCGUAAACUAUGAUUACUCGGUGCUGGCGAUAUACAGUCAGUGCCUAAGCGAAAGUGAUAAGUAAUCCACCUGGGGAGUACGAUCGCAAGGUUGAAACUCAAAGGAAUUGACGGGGGCCCGCACAAGCGGUGGAGCAUGUGGUUUAAUUCGAUGAUGCGCGAGGAACCUUACCUGGGCUUAAAUGCAUCCUGACAGGCUGGGAAACCAGUCCUCCUUCGGGCAGGAUGCAAGGUGCUGCAUGGCCGUCGUCAGCUCGUGCUGUGAGGUGUCGGGUUAAGUCCCAUAACGAGCGCAACCCCUAUCUUUAGUUGCCAGCGGGUAAUGCCGGGGACCCUAGAGAAACUGCCCGCGCAAGCGGAGAGGAAGGUGGGGAUGACGUCAAAUCAUCACGGCCCUUAUGUCUUGGGCUACACACGUGCUACAAUGGUUAUUACAAUGAGAUGCAAACUGGUGACAGUAAGCUAAUCUAUAAAAAUAACCUCAGUUCGGAUCGGAGUCUGCAACUCGACUCUGUGAAGUUGGAAUCGCUAGUAAUCGCACAUCAGCCAUGGUGCGGCGAAUACGUUCCCGGGCCUUGUACACACCGCCCGUCAAGCCAUGGAAGUUUGGAAUACUUAAAGUCAGUCACUGAAAAGAACUGCCUAGGGUAAAACAAGUAACUAGGGCUAAGUCGUAACAAGGUAACC
rnacentral:rRNA from 1 species